AUUAAAAAAUACCUCCUCUAUGUACUAACUACAUUUAACUAAUUUUGGAUCAAAAUAAAACAAAAAGAAAUUUCUUUUAAUUUUUUGAUUGGAACAAGAUUUCUAAUAGUUGCUGAUAGUCGCAGAAAAAAAAAAAUUUAAAAGAAAAUAUACAUGUAUAAAACCAAUAUGGUCUUCACUCUGCUCAGAAUCUAAAAGUAUGUAGUUAUUUUCUAAUUUUCAGUAGGGAAGUAACCUUAUAAAAUUAUCAAAAUAAAAUGUAAAUACAUUUUUAAAUUGCUUUUAUAUUUUUAUUUAUAAUAAAUAACUAACUGUUUAAUAAAUAUUUGAGAUGAAGGUGAAGGAGAAGAAGAGAACGUUAGUUUAAUGAGUUAGCGUAUUUGAGAAACUUGCUUAGCUUUGCUAUCUAUCCUGUUUUCAAGCUCACCAUCAAAAUAUAAUUAUUUUAAUAAAAUAAAUUUUGAAAUUGAAUAUUAACGUGUAUGAUGGAGAGUCCAAAAAAAAAAAAAAAGGUACAAAUGAAAUAUGAAUUCUUUUUUUUAUACCCACACAUUUUACUCGAGAUGGUAUGUAUUUUAUUGAAGUACACUUAAAUAUUUAAAUAUUUGGACCCGACAGCUGACAUACGCUAGUCAAUCUGUUCAAGAAUUCAUUGAGAUUAUAAUAUUUGUUGUUUCGGAUUUGAAGCGUAGCGAGGAAUCUAUCGGUUUUAUUAUGGUGUAUUACUUUUUGACCAGAAAUCUUGCUCCAAUUGAAAAAUGACAAGAUCCUUUUUUUGAAUUUCGUAUUUUGUUGGUGCAUUUUUUAAUUUUCCAAUCAGUUUUCAUAAUAAUUAAGAAAACCCAAAAACUAUGUAAAAUGUAAACUCACAAAUGUAUUAAAUGAUUAGUACAUUAAUCGUAGUUUGUGGC